rnacentral:siRNA from 1 species
UGGUGAUGCAUGUCCGCAAAUGAA